CUGAGCUCACCUUGCAGGGUGACAGCCAGACAUGAGUGUCCCGUCCUCCAUGGAGGGAACUGAAGAAGAUUGAUGAUCCACAGCUUGACCUUGUACAAGGCUGGGUCCGUAUCAGCACACUGCUUCCCUUUCCGUGGUGAGACUGCACUGGGUGACAUUCUGUAGUGUCGCUGAUCGGGGUGGUGUGGAUGAGCCGACUUUACCUUCCUAACCUGAGGAGAGUAACACUACUGUGUUUUUUUUUUUGUUUGUUUUUUUUCUACCAAAUUUACUCCCAGGCUAAUUUUAUUAAUGCAGUUGGUAUUUUAACUGGGAUUUUAACAAUAUACUUGUAAUAAAAUUUACUUACUGUUGU